CCUCUGUCUACAGAAGGGAACCAAUAAAGGACGAAUAUGUCCUCAGUCCUCUGAGAGGAGAAACAUGUUCCUAGCAUAGACUAGAAAUUACAUUUCAUUCUUUGUUCAGUUCCAGGUGUGGGGAGCACAUGGGCGGCAGAGGGAAGAAGGACUGAAAUGAGCCAGCCUUUGACAACUCUGACUCUGGAUGGUAAUUAAUACUUUUCACCAACCAACAUCAAAUAGAACCACAUCAAGACACCUAAGCAAACCUGAGCAGAGAGAAUCAAACCGCCCUUCAGAGAAUGAUCAGGAGAAAUGAGGGAAAUGCAAGAGGAUGAGAACCAGCUCCCUAACAAAUCCUGCACGGGACAUCAGCAGAAUUUUAGGCAUCUAAUUCCAAACUGGACUGCACUCCUGUUUUGUCCUCUUUGCUUCCACCAGUACCUUGUUUUGCUGUACAACAGAGCCAGUUCUUAUAGUGCUUCCAGCUCACGUCUGCCUGCCUAUUUCCAGAAACUUUGGCCCUUUUCAUAUUAGUAUAGUCCAAGCUUCAGUUGCUUUCCUUUUCACACAGCCUUAGCUUGGUCUUAUUCUUUCUAGCCAAGCAACUGUAGGGGUGGCCCUUCCCUUCAUCCUAAACAUGCUGCAUUCAAAUGGAUACUGAGGUUAUCGGGAAUGAAAAUCCUGUGAGUUUCAGCACAGGCUGUGAACAUCCUGUCACAUUUUCAGAAUUCUUUGUUUAUUUCUUAAAUUAAAAAAUAAAAACAAUUUUUUUUUUAUUUUUUAUUUUUUU
rnacentral:lncRNA from 1 species